UAGGGAAUAUUGGACAAUGGGGGCAACCCUGAUCCAGCCAUGCCGCGUGAGUGAAGAAGGCCCUCGGGUUGUAAAGCUCUUUUGUCCGGGAAGAAAAGCUUCGGGUUAAUACCCCGGGGUUCUGACGGUACCGGAAGAAUAAGCACCGGCUAGCUUCGUGCCAGCAGCCGCGGUAAUACGAAGGGUGCAAGCGUUACUCGGAAUUACUGGGCGUAAAGCGUGCGUAGGUGGGUGUUUAAGUCUGAUGUGAAAGCCCUGGGCUCAACCUGGGAAUGGCAUUGGAAACUGGGCAGCUAGAGUGCGGUAGAGGGUAGUGGAAUUCCCGGUGUAGCAGUGAAAUGCGUAGAGAUCGGGAGGAACAUCUGUGGCGAAGGCGACUGCCUGGACCAGCACUGACACUGAGGCACGAAAGCGUGGGGA
rnacentral:rRNA from 1 species